CUCCCCCCCCCCCAUAACGUGGCUGUGCCUCCUUCAACCGUUGAUCGAUCUGGGAGUCUCUGUUGGGCGUCGCACCAGCUCGUUGAUGGAAUCCUUCAGAGACCCUCUGGGGGACAGAGAGGCCCGCUGGCUGAUGGACUUGUGCACAGGGUGAUCGGACAGAGGGCUGGACUCCCGGCUGCUUCCAGGCUUGGAUCCCUCCGAGCCAGCAUUCAAGCUGCUAGGCAAGCCAGUGGUUAAGAGGAGCGUUGCGAAGUUGUCUGAAUGCUUGACAAACCAGCUUGAGGAAGUCCCAUUGAAAUCUUACUGCUGGGUGUAGCAUUGGGCUGUAAGAAGCUUCGCUCAGUGAACUGUGAACUAGGAAGUAAUUCAUCUACAGCCCGGGUCAUGAACUCACCAGCUAUUUCCUCUUUUGCCUAAAUCCUCUUCCCACGACCACCACCCCCGCAUCCCAGCACUCCUCUGCAAUAUGGGGGAUGACAGGAAUAGUGUCCUACCUUGCAAAGCUGUUGUGCAGAUUACUGAAAUAAAGAUCCGCAAAGUGUUUGCAGAUCUAAAAUCUCUCUGUGAAUCCCUAAAAUCACGCUAUUGGCACAUAUUAUUAAUUAUUUAUUAUUAUUAAUAUUAAUAUUAAUAUGCCAACAUGCACCGACUUCCCUCUGGUGGGAGAUGCACCUAAUCACAAGGAAAUCUUCCUAAAUCCCCUAUGACAUACUUCCAAGUCAGGGCCCCAAGCAAAGCAACUUCAGGUUUUCCCAGUAAAUCUUCAUAGGCUAAAGACUGUGGCUUCACUCUGAGCUCUGGAGAAUCGAUGUGCAGAGAUCAGGAGCAAGCAGAGAUCUCUUACCUCGACUGUUGCGGUGCAGUC